rnacentral:rRNA from 1 species
UGAGGAAUAUUGGACAAUGGGGGCGAACUCUGAUCCAGCCAUGCCGCGUGAAGGACUAAGGCCCUAUGGGCUGUAAACUUCUUUAGACGCAGAGCAAUAAGGGCCACGCGUGGUCCGAUGAGAGUAUGCGUAGAAUAAGCAUCGGCUAACUCCGUGCCAGCAGCCGCGGUAAUACGGGGGGAUGCGAGCGUUAUCCGGAUUUAUUGGGUUUAAAGGGUGCGCAGGCGGCGCGCCAAGUCAGCGGUCAAAGUUCCGGGCUCAACCCGGUGUCGCCGUUGAAACUGGCGUGCUCGAGUGCGUGCGAGGAAGGCGGAAUGCGUUGUGUAGCGGUGAAAUGCAUAGAUAUGAC